GACGAACGCUGGCGGCGUGCCUAAUACAUGCAAGUCGAGCGGAUUGAUGGGAGCUUGCUCCCUGAUAUCAGCGGCGGACGGGUGAGUAACACGUGGGCAACCUGCCUAUAAGACUGGGAUAACUUCGGGAAACCGGAGCUAAUACCGGAUAAUCCCUUUCCUCUCAUGAGGAAAGGCUGAAAGAUGGUUUACGCUAUCACUUAUAGAUGGGCCCGCGGCGCAUUAGCUAGUUGGUGAGGUAACGGCUCACCAAGACAACGAUGCGUAGCCGACCUGGGAGGGGGAUCGGCCACACUGGGACUGAGACACGGCCCAGACUCCUACGGGAGGCAGCAGUAGGGAAUCUUCCGCAAUGGACGAAAGUCUGACGGAGCAACGCCGCGUGAGUGAUGAAGGUUUUCGGAUCGUAAAACUCUGUUGUUAGGGAAGAACAAGUACGAGAGUAACUGCUCGUACCUUGACGGUACCUAACCAGAAAGCCACGGCUAACUACGUGCCAGCAGCCGCAGUAA
rnacentral:rRNA from 1 species